rnacentral:tRNA from 1 species
GGAGACGUGGCCGUGUGGACUAAGGCGCCGCACUGCUGACGCGGAGUGCCUUCGAAAGGCACCAUCCGUUCGAAUCGGAUCGUUUCCGCCA